ACCAAGGCGACGAUCCGUAGCGGGUCUGAGAGGAUGAUCCGCCACACUGGAACUGAGACACGGUCCAGACUCCUACGGGAGGCAGCAGUGGGGAAUUUUGGACAAUGGGGGCAACCCUGAUCCAGCCAUGCCGCGUGAGUGAAGAAGGCCUUCGGGUUGUAAAGCUCUUUCGGCCGGGAAAAAAUCGCAUGGGUUAAUACCCUGUGUGGAUGAUGGUACCGGAAUAAGAAGCACCGGCUAACUACGUGCCAGCAGCCGCGGUAAUACGUAGGGUGCGAGCGUUAAUCGGAAUUACUGGGCGUAAAGCGUGCGCAGGCGGUUUUGUAAGACAGGCGUGAAAUCCCCGGGCUCAACCUGGGAACUGCGCUUGUGACUGCAAGGCUAGAGUAUGGCAGAGGGGGGUGGAAUUCCACGUGUAGCAGUGAAAUGCGUAGAGAUGUGGAGGAACACCAAUGGCGAAGGCAGCCCCCUGGGCCAAUACUGACGCUCAUGCACGAAAGCGUGGGUAGCAAACAGGAUUAGAUACCCUGGUAGUCCACGCCCUAAACGAUGUCAACUAGGUGUUGGGAGGGUAAAACCUUUUAGUACCGGAGCUAACCCGUGAAGUUGACCGCCUGGGGAGUACGGCCGCAAGGUUAAAACUCAAAGGAAUUGACGGGGACCCGCACAAGCGGUGGAUGAUGUGGAUUAAUUCGAUGCAACGCGAAAAACCUUACCUACCCUUGACAUGUCCAGGAGCCUGAAGAGAUUUGGGUGUGCCCGAAAGGGAACUGGAACACAGGUGCUGCAUGGCUGUCGUCAGCUCGUGUCGUGAGAUGUUGGGUUAAGUCCCGCAACGAGCGCAACCCUUGUCGUUAAUUGCCAUCAUUCAGUUGGGCACUUUAACGAGACUGCCGGUGACAAACCGGAGGAAGGUGGGGAUGACGUCAAGUCCUCAUGGCCCUUAUGGGUAGGGCUUCACACGUCAUACAAUGGUCGGUACAAAGGGUUGCCAACCCGCGAGGGGGAGCCAAUCCCAGAAAGCCGAUCGUAGUCCGGAUUGCAGGCUGCAACUCGCCUGCAUGAAGUCGGAAUCGCUAGUAAUCGUGGAUCAGCAUGUCACGGUGAAUACGUUCCCGGGUCUUGUACACACCGCCCGUCGCACCAUGGGAGCGGGUUCCGCCAGAAGUAGGUAGCCUAACCGCAAGGGGGGCGCUUACCACGGCGGGGUUCGUGACUGGGGUGAAGUCGUAACAAGGUA
rnacentral:rRNA from 1 species